rnacentral:rRNA from 1 species
UACGUAGGGUGCGAGCGUUAAUCGGAAUUACUGGGCGUAAAGGGUGCGUAGGCGGCGCGGUAAGUCGGGUGUGAAAUCUUGGAGCUUAACUCCGAAACUGCAUUCGAUACUGCCGUGCUUGAGGACUGGAGAGGAGACUGGAAUUUACGGUGUAGCGGUGAAAUGCGUAGAUAUCGUAAGGAAGACCAGUGGCGAAGGCGGGUCUCUGGACAGUUCCUGACGCUGAGGCACGAAGGUCAGGGGAGCAAACGGG